AAGCGAAAUGUGGUCAUAUUUCGAAACUCUUGAUCGAGAGUUUGCGAAAUGUACUUUGUGCGGUAAGAAAUUAUCGUACAAAUCGACGACAACGAAUUUAAAAAAACAUCUUCAGAAAUCACAUUUAAUUGUGAAUUUCUCUUCACAAAGACCUUCGGAGCUAGAUUUGGGUGAAACCCUUCCUGUAGAGGUGAUCCUUGGCACCAGUAGUGUGGAAGAGGAGCAAGAGGCACACCAACACCAGCAGAUGAGUCUCCGUUUAAUACUUGGGAUAUUAUAACAGUAAGUUAUAGCUCCAGAAGUCAGUCACCAGCAGCAGAUGUCACACAGUUAUAAAAUGGGAAACUUGAAGAAUAAGCUCCAGAAGUCAGCAGCAGCAGCAGACGUCACACAGCCAUAAUGCGAGAAGCUUGAAGAAUAAUGUGGUAGUGGUUUGGAUACAUAUGACAUAUUUCACCUUCAGUUUAAAAUUGAAGUUUGUUUAUAUUGGCAGGUGGUAACUCGGAGCUCUUUGUUCCAGUUAUGGCUCCGAUAGUCUUCCAGCAGCAGCAAAUGUUACACAGUCCUAU